CAUAAGAAUAGUGGUACCUACCUUAAUGCUACUUAUGAUCAUAAAUGGAGAUGCCCUUAGAUGAUAAAACAUGAAUAGUAAUUCAUGUGUGACUUCUGUUUUUAUUUUUUUUUAAAAAAAGUUUCAAAUAAGACGAACGAUUAAAGUUGGGCACGGAAAAUUAUGGCUGCACUUAAA
rnacentral:pre_miRNA from 1 species